GAUGAACGCUGGCGGCGUGCCUAAUACAUGCAAGUCGAGCGAACGGACGAGAAUCUUGCUUCUCUGAUGUUACCGGCGGACGGGUGAUUAGCACGAGGAUAACCUACCUUUAAGACUGGGAUAACUUCGGCAAACCGGAGCUAAUACCGGAUAAUAUUUUGAACCGCAUGGUUCAAAAGUGCAAGACGUUCUUGAUGUCACUUAUAGAUGUAUCCGCGCUGCAUUAGCUAGUUGGUAAGGUAACGGCUUACCAAGGCAACGAUGCAUAGCCGACCUGAGAGGAUGACCAGCCACACUGGAACUGAGACACGGCCCAGACUCCUACGGGAGGCAGCAGUAGGGAAUCUUCGGCAAUGGGCGAAAGCCUGACGCAGCAACGCCGCGUGAGUGAAGAAGGUCUUCGGAUUGUAAAACUCUGUUGUUCGGGAAGAACAUAUGUGUACGUAUCCGUGCGCAGCAUGACGGUACCGAAAGAGAAAGCAACGGCUAACUACGUG
rnacentral:rRNA from 1 species